rnacentral:rRNA from 1 species
AACGAACGCUGGCGGCAUGCCUAACACAUGCAAGUCGAACGAGACCUUCGGGUCUAGUGGCGCAUGGGUGCGUAACGCGUGGGAACCUGCCCUUAGGUUCGGAAUAACUCCCCGAAAGGGGUGCUAAUACCGGAUAAUGUCUUCGGACCAAAGAUUGAUCGCCUUUGGAUGGGCUCGCGUCGGAUUAGCUAGUUGGUAGGGUAAAAGCCUACCAAGGCGACGAUACAUAGCUGGUUUGAGAGGAAGGGCAGCGACACUGGGAGUGAGACGCGGCCCAGACUCCUACGGGAGGCGGCAGUGGGGAAUAUAGGACUAUGGGCGAAGGCCUGAUCCAGCAAUGCCGCGUGAGUGAUGAAGGCCUUAGGGUUGUAAAGCUCGUUUACCCGGGAUGAUAAUGACAGUACCGGGAGAAUAAGCACCGGCUAACUCCGUG